UACGGGGGGGCAAGCGUUGUUCGGAAUUACUGGGCGUAAAGGGCUCGUAGGUGGCCAACUAAGUCAGACGUGAAAUCCCUCGGCUUAACCGGGAACUGCGUCUGAUACUGGAUGGCUUGAGUUUGGGAGAGGGACGCGGAAUUCCAGGUGUAGCGGUGAAAUGCGUAGAUAUCUGGAGGAACACCGGUGGCGAAGGCGGCGUCCUGGACCAACACGUGACACUGAUGAGCGAAAGCCAGGGAGCAAACGGG
rnacentral:rRNA from 1 species